rnacentral:lncRNA from 1 species
AUGUCGAGCAGCCGAAGGAGCACGCACUUCUGGAGCGAGGAGGAGACGGAUUUCCUCCUGCAGACUCUAAAGGAGAUGAACAUCGACCGCUACACAGACGGACGCAAGCACCGCAACAGCCUGAUCUUCCGGAGGGUCUGCGCGCGGCACAAGGAGGCGGGCUUCACGCGCUCCUGCGACCAGGUCAAGCACCGCUGGAAAACACUCAAGUCCAUCUACUACAAGGCCAAGAAGCAGAGCAGCAGCAGCUCUAACGCGGCCUUCAGACACUUCGACACGAUGGAGGAAAUCUUCGGACACAGACCUGUGGCUGUCAGCACCGACACCGAGCCCGACAGCAAGGGCUUCACCUUCGAGGAUGGAGAGGAGGAGGAGGAGGAGGAAGAUGAGGCUGGGGAUAAUGUGGUGGAUGAUGUGGAAGGUGGGAUUCAGGAAAUCCAGUCAGUGAAAACCGAGAAUGAGCCCCUGAUCCUCACACAAGCGUCACACGAGAGCUCCACGACAUCCACCGAGAGCUUCACCUCCACCUCCACCCAGCAGAGCGCAGCUCCAGGCGUGCUGAAGCGCAGGCGGUCGUGUUGUGCUGCGCUGCACAGUCAGUAUCAGGGCUUUCUGGAGAGACUGCAGCGGAGCCAGAACACAUGGCUGGAGCGCCAGCUGGAGCAGAGUCACCUCCGAGAGGAGCGUCUGAUUGCCCGAGUGCUGGCCGAACACAGCCGGUCCAUGGAGGCCUUAGUCAGCCAACUCUUCUCAGGCUUGAGGAGCCUCCUGCCCUCGUCUCAGCUCAGCACACAGCCUGAUGCCAGCCCAGCGCAGAGCAGGACUGAGUCCUGAAUCACACACACACACAGCUCUCAGAGACUCGAGGAGCACCUCACACACUCUUCAUCCCGAUGCAGUCUUCUGCAGCCCUGCACUGGUUUGUUAAAGGUAGCGAUAAUGUAGCAAUCCAGCAUCUGUUUAACACUGGUAGGUGUUUGUUAUUGUUUCAUAGUACCACAUAGCUUCUGUAAAAAGUGUUCAUCAAAUGUUUAGUCAUGAAUAAAGAUGUGCGUGUGUGUGUGUAAUGUGAUUUUCUCAUGAGCCUCAUCAUUUUUUUAAAAAUAAACACUGAAAGUG